ACUACGAAUAUGACGUAGAAAGCGAAUUGCGCAGACGUCCGAAUCAAGCUGCCAUUCAGUAACCAGUGAUUUUGCUUCAUCGAGGUGACGAGUUCAACACAACCUCUUAGGGGCCUUUCAGUGUUGAAGUGGCGCCAGACUGAUUCGUGUGUGUGUGAUCCAGGCACUCAAGUUGACCUGACAGAAAUAGCUGAAAGCAGGUGCAGAACAUUAGUAUGACACCAACAGCAGGAGAAGAAACCGAUGAGAACUACUAGCUUCUUUGAAGGGUAGAGGACUACUUCCUGUUGAGGUACAGUUAUGACUUGGGAACAUUAAUUAAUUUUCUAGAGAUACAUCCUCUACACUUGAAUGCCCACUGAAACAGCGAAAGUUCAUUGUAUUCGAAGCCCCCGUACUGGAAUUGUUCAAAGCGUGUCACAGCUGCAGUGAGCCACACAAGGCUGCAUCACAUUGGUCCUAAAUUUGCAGAGUUCCCCUAUCUCGGACACAACGGUCAUUUCUCUUUAUUGCUCUCUCAAUCCCACCUUCUCCUAGAUUAAGGUGGUCCUGCGUUGCAUGGGCACUGCUUAUGCUUUUUCUACGUAUGCUUUCAGUUUCUUGUUCUGUUGAAUAAAUCUUCAGUUGAGAGUUUGCAGCCAUCACGCUGUCUACUGUGUUUGCCCCUCAUGUAUAUUGAUGUGUUAUAACGGUAUAGCACAUCAACAUGCCGACAACUUACCAACAACAACCAAACAAUCUUGACUUGUCCUACUUUUGGACGGAAACUACACAAUGUGGUAGCAUCCACAUGUAUAAAAUUUUAGUCGACGGAAAUUUUCUGUUUUUGUACAGCCUUCAUUGUACAUUUCUUUUGUCUUACUUAGCACGCGUGAAGAAAAGUUCUCACCUUCAUGAAGAUGACAGGUCAUUGUUGGAUCUAUCUGCAGCAUUAUUGUUCCUGUAAUUUUCUCAUCAACAAGAGAAUACAAAUGUGCACACCAUGGUGAAACAUAACUUGCUUGUUAAAUUCAA